UUAGGGUUCCUUCCUCACUGUCCGCUUUAUAAACACCUACACACUCUCCCUUCUCAAUUAUCCUCUCUCCAAAUUUCAAUCUUUCAUGUCAUUUUCUUGUUAGGUUUAGUUUCUUUCUUCUGGGUUUGCUUCUUUAUGUUAUAAAGCGCGUCAAUUUACUGAUUACCAGUUCUCAAACCCUAAUGGGCUCUGUGUAUGAGCUGACGCCAUAUCAAAUUCUUCCUGCAAUUUAUUGUGCACUGUUUUUUCAUCUCAGUUCCUAUUGCAGUAUAUUGAAGUGAAAAGCAGGAGUUUAAUGCUUGCUCUGCUUCCUGUGUGGAUAACAAGUUUGGCUCUUCUGCAACAUAUUUUCUCAUUGAACAUGUUUUCAUUGGUAGUGCUGCUUAUCUUAAUUUUUGUAGUAUUACAUCCAACUUAAAUUUGGGAGAGGCAUUCUGGAUGUCGUUAGUGAGACAAUUAUUAAGAAUUGUUAGAGAAUAUAGGUAAUAUCUUGUUUAGUUGGGAAUGUCAGAGGUUGAUUCCUAAUAUCAUCAUGGGAUUAUGUAACUAAACCUUAAACCAUUUUAGUUUUCUUCUGAAAUUUCCCAUUGAAGCAAGAUUUGGACUGAAUCACGGCUGAGUAAUAAAUUUCAUUUACACGUAAUCCUAAGAUUAAAGGGUCUUCACAAAAAAAAGGUGGAAACAAAAAAUCAACAACAUAGGGAAAAAUAUUACCAAAAAUUUAACCAAAAUUUGUAAGAUGGGUUCAACUCCUAUUAAUUUUGUAAUCUAUAACUGUUUUCAAUUAAUAAUUUGACCGGUUGGUUGUACCGCCUGAUCUGGUUUUCGAAGUAUUGCUAUAUAUAUAU